CUUGGUAUUUAGUUUUUCUUUCUGGUGAGUGGAAUGAAAGGCAGAAUUAUGCUCUACUCACUGAAAUCUUUUGAAAUGCCACUAUGCUUUCCCCAAUCUUCUGGAUAACACUAAAGGAAAUCAAUAGAGAUCUUCCUAGGUGAAGGGAGUUUGACUGGCUAAUGUAUCACUUAUUUUGUUUUAACUGGUUAGGAGGUAGAACAUUGUUAAAUAUUUGCUAUAAUUCUUUCUUGGGUAUUUAAAGUUGCUUCAGUGGCAUAUUUUAUUAUAUAUAUCAACAACAAUGGUCGUCCUCGAGGAAAAAUAAACUGAAAUUAUAAUUUAGAUGUCUCUUUUUUUAAAAAUAUAGUAGAAGAUUACCCUGAGAUAAGCGUGGACUAUGGGUUGGACAUAUCUCAAAAAUAUGUUCUCUGUACCUGUGCUUUGGGCUGAUUUCAAUUUAGUUGAAUCUAUGAAUUAUUUUAUUAAGAAUUUGCUCUAAUUUAGUGGAUGUUACAGUGGGGAGGGGAGGGAAAUGUGGGUGCAAUUUCCAUGGUGGCCCGUAACCUCCACAGAGAUCAAGUCCAAUCUCUAUGAAGACUACCGGCCACCAUGUACUACACGACAUCAAGUACUACAGAGCUGUCCUGUGAACAUUCUAAAGGCUAAAACUACUGGAGAAGGAAGAGUUUAUGAAAAAUUAAUGUCGGAUUGGGUCUGAAAUCCUGGGUAGGCUUUAGAUCAGUGGAGAGAAAUGAAAACUAGCAGACAGACAAGCAAUGACCAGGACACAAAGCAGCAGUGAGCAUGCCCCGUAUAUGAAGUACUGUGGAGAAGAUGCUUGCUAGGUACUAAUAAGGCAAAUCUGUAUCAUGGAGGAGCUUGACUCUCAGGAAGAGAAUCUUGCCUUGUUUUGAGAGGCGCUGGAGAAACUUUGCUGGAGACUUUGAGAAGAUUACACUGACAGGGAUGUGCAGGGAAAAAAAAAUGGAGGGAGGUAGGAUCAACAUUUCAAAAAUCACUUGGAAACUUACUACAACAUUCCUGCUUACGUGGUUGCUAAAAAGAAAAGAGAGCUAAAGAAAAACAAGAUGGUAGAACAGUGCUUGACUUCAUUGUACGUUUAUUCACAGGUACCAUUUGGAGACCUCCCUGGGCCGUAGGUAUCAGUAUCCAAUACUGGCCCUGCCCUUACGGGGUGUAAAUUGUAGGAGACCAGAACCAGGACUGAGGUUGAGACCUAUGUGUGCAUUUUUUUAGCAAAGCUUUAAGUCAAAUGACUCUUGCAGAAUGUGAAACAGAGACCUAUGUGUGGAUUUUUUUAGCAAAGCUUUAAGUCAAAUGACUCUUGCAGAAUGUGAAACAGAAUCCAGAAGAAUACAUGCAAGCACGUUACAAAGCGUUUAGGUUGCUCUUUUAUCCUUAAAGAGCCUGAAGAGCAUGUAGGAAAAACAGCAGGGAGUAAAAUGUGCUUGGUGAGACUCCAUCUCCAUCAGCCUCAGCAGUGGCCAAAGAUUGACCUCUGACCCCUCAAAGCUCCACCCUCCAUCCUAGCAAUCUUCUGGUAUCAAAACUGCUGGAAAAGCUCUGGGGCAGUCAUCAUAAGUCUCCUGAUUUGAAUCUUGACUCUGUUCCUUGCUUAGUAUUAUGAUCUUGGGAUGUCAUUGAUACUCGGAGUCUCAGUCAGCUUCAUUUAUAAAAUGAGGCUAAUAUCACCCACUUGGCAAACUCAGGGGAUUAUCAGGAAGAUCAAGUAGAAAAUAUAUAUCAAGGCCACCAGGGCCUAAUGAUGGUGACGGAGAGAGGAGGAAAAAUGAAGAACUCUAUUUGGUAAUUCUUUGUUUUUCCUAGUUAUCAGAUUGUGAAUUUUUAAAGGAUACAUGAGAAUCAUUCUCAUGGUCAGAAUUUCAAGCCUUAGUCUAAAAAAUGCCUUAAUAUAAAGAAGCAGUUCUGGUCUAGUUAAAUGUUAGUUAAAUGCUUUUGUUGGGGAAUGCCUUUUUUAGCUCCAAAUGAAAACUUAUAUGGUAUAACUUGAAUACAUUAAAAAAAAAAAAGUGAAUCAUUUUUAGUGUAAAGAGGUUUUUUUAAAAAAAACAAAUUUAUGAAGUUCCCGUUGUGGCAUAGGGAAAAUGAAUCUGGCUAGUAUCCGUGGGGAUGCAGGUUUGCUCCCUGGCUUCCCUCAGUGGGUCAGGGAUCUAGUGUUGCUGUGAGUGGUGUAGGUCGCAUAUGCGACUCGAAUCCUGUGCAUUGCUGGGGCUGUGGCGUAGGCAGGCAGCUGUAGCUCCAAUUCACCCCCUAGCCUGGGAUCUUACAUAUGCCAUGAGUGUGGUCCUAAAAAGCAAAAACAAAAAAAGGUAAUUACUAUAAAAUCAGUCAUUGAGAAUAAUGAAGUUUUUCUGAUUAACACUAAAUUAGAAAUGAGGAUUUUGUAUCUAUAUCAACCUCUUAUUUUGUAUUUUUUUUCCUUCAGUUGCACAGUGUCAAAACAAUUCUGACUCACGUGGAUACGUCGUUAAAAUGAUCAUAACUGUAUUUAUCAGCUUGAAUUCUCCGUAGAAUCUUUAACUAGGAAGAAGAAGAAAAGCUUUGCUUUAAUGUCUGAGCACAAAAACAAAGUUAACUGACAACACAAACUCACACAUAGAGGAAGAAAUAGGUUAAAUAUGGCAUGCAUUGCAUGAGUGUAAGUUUCUUUUUAACAAAGUGUUUUAAAUAGUUGAAAAAACAGCAUUGCUUGGGUCAAAUAUUUGUGGAACUUUUGAAAGAACUCUCUGGAACCUUCAGUGUCUACAGAAUUGUGUCAGUAGCUGGCCACAUGCAUUGAGCACAGGAUAUUCUUCUGAGCACUAUUUGUGGUUUAUUUCCUAAUCCUUAUGACCACUGCUUGAGGCAGGUGAAGAUCCUGAGACACAAAAAGUUCAAAUAAUUUUCCAUAAAGCACACAGUUGAUAAAUAGCUGUGGCAAGAUUCAAACGUAGGAUGUUUAAUUCCCUGAUCUUAAGUCAUGGAGGAGGAAAACAGGUUAAUGGUCUCUCUACACAACUUAAUAGCCUGGUAAUUUCAGUUUUCACAUCUACCAAAUACAGAUCAGUUGUGAAGUUUAGUCAUGACACAAUCUGAAAACCUUGGCACUUACUGAAUGUUUAAUAGAUGUUUGAUAACUCUGAAUUUUCCCUAUGGUAAAUUUUUAUAAGCACUAUAAAGAAAAUGAAGAAGGCGAAGUAAUAGAGGGAAAAUGAAAAUGGUAGGAACCAUUUCAAACCACCGUGUGGUUGCGGAGGGUGGGCAGGAAGAAUGAUCUGCAUGUGCAAAGGCCCUGAGGUACACUGAAUAAGCUUGGGGUGGUCAAUGAACUGAGAGUGUAGUUGGAGAAAGUGGAAGUAUUUGAGGUUGGAGAAUGCACAAAGGACCUCCAGCGCCACGUCAAAAGGGAUGGAGAAGUUAAGAUUUCAUUUAUUUAUUUUUUUAAAUGAAAACGUAUAGCUUCAUUGACUAAAAGAGAGACCAGUGCAGGGGGAGCUUGUCUGGAUGAAUUUUGGCUGUCUCUUUUGAGCAACAUCAUUUCUCAUCUAUUUAUCUUCAAAAUCUCCAGCUAAGAGAAGGGGAAUGAUUGUGUAAUGUGACACACCCUUUUGUGGGUAAUUAUGUAAUACUACUAGGGUAAAAGCGUUUAGAGAGAGGAGGUAAUUUUACUCGUUCAGCCUAGAAUUUUUAGUAGAUAAAGAUAAAACUUUUCAAGCUGUCUCCACUACAUUGCCAUUUCUGUAAAGAAUCAAAUUACUCUCCUUUCUCCCUUUUACAAAAGAUUCGUGUCUUAAUUUAUCACAUGAAAUAAAAACAUUUACGUAAACUCUGCAAAUUGCAUCCCUGAGAAACCACAAAAGUCAAAAGAAAGUAAUUAAAGCAGGAUUAAUCAUAUAUAUGUUAUAUUUUUAACUUUCUAAAAGGUCACAGCUUGAUGAUUUAUGUUGCUACAAUAGUGAACCUGACAGGGAAUUACAACUUCUGAGAUAUUAGUGUUUAGCAGAUGGCAAUUUAUGACACUAAUCACUUAGUACCUAUAAGAAAAUUAUCUCGGUAAAUAUUCCAGACCACAUUGGAACUUAGGAGAUUCUUAAUAAACCGAUGAAAUAAUCACGAUGGUAAUUAUUACAGCGAAAGCCCAUUCUUUUAAGCAGCUGGACAGAAAAGAAAGGUCAAGAUUAAUGACCCUUUAGAGCCAAGAAGGGAACUUAGCACUUUCUGUGUUGUGGGUUACUCUGCCUUGAAGGGCUUGGUUGUGAAACACUAGCUGUAGGAUGUAUCCCCUCAUAUCACUAACCAUCAAAGAGGAUCGAUACAGAAAUGUGAAAGGUAGAGUUUCAGGUUCUAUAGUUUCCACUUGCAAUGUCACUGGUAAGUGAAAAGCCUGGGUUGAUUGCUUAGAAGAUUAAAUUGCUAUUACUGUUCACCUGGGGAGCAGAUUACAUGUCCUUUGUGAGUGUGCUCAGUUGGGGGAACUUGUGUGGUGUCUUGGAAAAGGAGCAGAAUUAAGAGGCAGAAGACUUAAUUUUGUUCACAGCAGACUAAAUAUAACCCUGGCUACGUCACUUAAUCUCUUUAGUUCUCAGCUUCCUCAGAAGUAAAAUGAAAACCAGAAAAUAGUGUCUCUUUUGCCUACUUCACUAGAUUUUUGAGGUUAAAAAAUAACAACAAAACUCUUAGUUACCUGUCAAGCAUUAUACUUUUGCAUUCAUCGCUAUAUUUUGUUUCACAGUAGAGAUCAGGAGGCUACUGUGUGGUCACUCUAGUGGGGUCAAUGUUUAUGCCAGGUCACACUUGAGUCACCCACCCACAUUUUGGGACCCAGGGGCUGCCUCACAUUAGGAGAGGCUGCAUUCUGGGAGAGGGGUUGUGGAGGCACAACUGUAUCUUUUUGGUCUCUUAUAAAAGCAACUCUAGCACUUUUCCUUUUUCUUCGGAGUCCAUGGUGUGGUUAGAAGAGUGGAACUCCUGCAAGGAGAGCAAGGCAGCUAGGUAGGCCUCCGCCAACCGAGACUUUCCAUACCCAGCUACACACUCUCACUGCUGCUUACAGAAAUUAUAAAUGCAGCUAAGAGACAUCUCUUCCAGAGAUUUCACUCCAUAUGUCUGCAAUUCAGUUGGUUUCUCUUCCUUCGCAUGAUGAAAAAUAGCAUCAUCUCUUUCAUUGCCAAAUGCAGAAAGCUGGGAGUUGUUCUAGAUUUUUCUUCCUGUUCAACUCCCAUGUCUUCACCCAACACCAACCCUGUAGAUCCCACUUCCUUAACUUGCAGCCACACAUCCCAUUCCAUUUGUGUUGCCUCUGACUUGAUGCUGGUUCUUUCGUUUUCACAGCACAUUUACUUCAGUAACUUCCUAACUGGGCUUCUCGGUCCAGAACCAGCUCUUAGAAGUCGCCCUCUUCUGUGAUGGCUACCUUCCUAACUUAGAGAGCUGAUCAGCUUAUUUCCUUGCUAAGAAUUUGUUACUGCUCUCCAGAGCUUUCAAGUUUAUGGUAUGAUUUUGAUUCUUUGGCCCCCAUCUCAGUCAAGCCUGAUCAUCUCACACCUCUCAGCAUGUCCUUUCCUCUGUCCAUAGCGUGCUUUUUCAUGCUUCUGCAAUUUCACCCAUGAUGCUAACACAGCCUAGAAAACUCUUCACCAUUAUAUGCCUGGCUAACUCGUAUUUAUUUUUAAAACUUCAGCUCUAUUGGCAUCUCUUUCCAAAAGCCUUCCUGAUACCUAGUCCUUUAGAUGUUGCUCCUCUGGGCUCUGUUAGUGCUCUGAGUAUACUGCUGCCGAAUUUGUUACUCCUCCUUAAUCCUAACCUUAAGGUUUUCCCGUGUGUUCCUAGACACCAGCAGUGCCUGGCUCGUAACCUGGUAUCCACUGUACUUCUCUGGAUUGGAUAAGUCAACACAGUCUAUAUAGGGGGGACAUGCCACAGUGACAAUGAAAAUCACCCAUGUGAUUAGCUUGAUUGCCGCAAGGGAAGUCCAACCCUAACGACAAUACCUGUGAAGGCAGUAGAGUGAAGACUUAAGGAGGCAAAGGGGAACAAAUUGAAAAAGCGAGAAACUAGGAGACCAAAAGAAACUUAGGAUAAAUCUUACAGUGUUCUAGCCAAGGGUUGAAAUGUCUGUUAGGUUGCAGGCGCAUCCUUAAAGAGUGGGGCAGACUUUAUUGGAUUUGCAGUGUGUGAGAGGUAAGGAAUAGAUGGCGUAAAGGCAAGGGGUAUGUUUGAAUAACUUUCGGAAAGUCAGGUUGGCUGCAGCAGAAUGAUCGAGGGUGCCAUGGGCUGAAUCCUGUCCCCUCCGAUUUCAUGUGCUGGAGUCUUAACCCCUGUGUUUGAAGAUAGAUCCUUUUAAAGAGAUGACUACAUUAAAAUGAAGGCGUGAGCCCUAAUCCUGUCUGACUGGUGUCCUUAUUAAAAGAGGAUAUUUGGACACAGAGAGACACCAGAGGAAAGACCAUGUGAGGACACAGUGAAAAGAUGGCCAUGUUCAAGCUAAGGAGAGACAUUUCGGAAGAAACUAAAUCCGGUGACACUGUGAGCGUCCAUGACUGUGGGAAAAUAAGUUUCUGUUGUUUCCGUCACCCAUUCUGGAGUAUUUUGUUACGGCAGCCCUAGCAAACUGGUCUAGAGAGGAUGAGUAAUGCACAAAGCCGGCAAAAUAACAGCAGUUUCGGCGGAGGGAACGGGGGAGAAUUAUGUUGUCAGGUCAUUGUAAAGAUUUAGGGUUUUAUUCUAGUGAAAGGGGAAGCCAGUGGAGGAUUCGGAGCCGGUGAAUAGGAUGAGCUGGCUUUUACUUUCAUGCAGAUGGGGAGCUGAUAAUCAGGAGUCAUGCUGAUAGGACAGUCAGCGUUGGCCACUGUGUAGGAGAGAAGAGUGACUUACCCAGGGUGACAGAGUAAUUGCAUACGCUCCCAGGAAUAGGAACCAGGCAUCCAGGGCUCUUUACUACUUUGUGCUUGGGGAGAGAUGCCUUUGGCUUCUCAUGGGAAGAACACAGUUGGAUCGCCUCAUGUUUGGGGGAGGCUGGCUGUGU
rnacentral:lncRNA from 1 species